GUGCCAGCAGCCGCGGUAAGACGAACCGUCCUAACGUUAUUCGGAAUUACUGGGCUUAAAGGGUGCGUAGGCGGCCCUGUAAGUUGGGUGUGAAAUCCCUCGGCUCAACCGAGGAAUUGCGCCCAAUACUGCAGGGCUAGAGGAAGAUAGAGGUGAGCGGAACUUGUGGUGGAGCGGUGAAAUGCGUUGAUAUCACAAGGAACACCUGUGGCGAAAGCGGCUCACUGGGUCUUUUCUGACGCUGAGGCACGAAAGCUGGGGGAGCGAACGGGAUUAGAAACCCGCGUAGUCC
rnacentral:rRNA from 1 species